AUCGUAACAUUUCCACUUUCAACAGCUGUGGAAAAAGAAGUAAACAUGAUGACUGAAUGUUCAAAACAGAUGUCCAAUUAUAAAGACAUAUGGCCUAUGUGGAAUUUUGGAUUUCUACAUCAGAUUACUUGUUUGGCUUCCUCCACAGCAUCCAGCAUCAUUUCCACGACAACUUCUUCUGCAGCCUCUGUUGUGCCCUGUAGUGCUUCCUCCAGGUCCAGAGGUAUCAUCUUCUGACAACAUCACCACAGGGCUCAUUGACUCUUCCAAUUCCAAAAUACUCUCCAUCUCCGGAACAGAGGCCUCCUCUGAUGAAGCAGGGCUUUCAACAUAAACUUCGGCCACAACAGGG